rnacentral:rRNA from 1 species
AUCAUAGCUAUAUGUCACCACUAUAUACUGUGACCGGCGAAUGGCUCAUUAAAUCAGUUAUCGUUUAUUUGAUAGUACCUUACUACAUGGAUACCUGUGGUAAUUCUAGAGCUAAUACAUGCUACAAACCCCGACUUCAGGAAGGGGUGUAUUUAUUAGAUAAAAAACCAACGCCCUUCGGGGCUCCUUGGUGAAUCAUAAUAACUUAACGAAUCGCAUGGCCUUGCGCCGGCGAUGGUUCAUUCAAAUUUCUGCCCUAUCAACUUUCGAUGGUAGGAUAGUGGCCUACCAUGGUGGCAACGGGUAACGGGGAAUUAGGGUUCGAUUCCGGAGAGGGAGCCUGAGAAACGGCUACCACAUCCAAGGAAGGCAGCAGGCGCGCAAAUUACCCAAUCCCGAUACGGGGAGGUAGUGACAAUAAAUACUGAUACGGGGCUCUUUCGGGUCUCGUAAUUGGAAUGAGAACAAUUUAAAUCCCUUAACGAGGAACAAUUGGAGGGCAAGUCUGGUGCCAGCAGCCGCGGUAAUUCCAGCUCCAAUAGCGUAUAUUAAAGUUGUUGCAGUUAAAAAGCUCGUAGUUGAACCUUGGGCCUGGCUGGCCGGUCCGCCUCACCGCGAGUACUGGUCCGGCUGGGCCUUUCCUUCUGGGGAACCUCAUGGCCUUCACUGGCUGUGGGGGGAACCAGGACUUUUACUGUGAAAAAAUUAGAGUGUUCAAAGCAGGCCUUUGCUCGAAUACAUUAGCAUGGAAUAAUAGAAUAGGACGUGCGGUUCUAUUUUGUUGGUUUCUAGGACCGCCGUAAUGAUUAAUAGGGAUAGUCGGGGGCGUCAGUAUUCAGCUGUCAGAGGUGAAAUUCUUGGAUUUGCUGAAGACUAACUACUGCGAAAGCAUUCGCCAAGGAUGUUUUCAUUAAUCAGGGAACGAAAGUUAGGGGAUCGAAGACGAUCAGAUACCGUCGUAGUCUUAACCAUAAACUAUGCCGACUAGGGAUCGGACGGGAUUCUAUGAUGACCCGUUCGGCACCUUACGA